UUCCUACUGCAACUGGCUGACUCCGUGAGAUUUGCUUUUCUUGGCAAGAAUUCUUCAAAGCUUUUGUUUGAUGAUUUGUAUUCUUUGUUCAUUAUUGCUUCCUAUUUGUGAUUUAUUUUUUAUAAUUUGAUUGCAAAAUUUGGAUUGCCUGCUAUUUCUUCUUUCUUAGAUGUCACUUUUUUCUGCAGUAGACUAUGCGUAUUUAUGGGGGCCAUUGUUGCGUGUUUGUUGAACUGCAUCUUCUAAUUUGUGAUUUUAGUUAUUUGUGUUUUCUAAGUUUGGUUUCAAGUUUUCUCCACAUGUGGGUUUUGGUUUUAUUGAUGACUUGUUCUAUUGUGUAGGCCAUCGUUGUUCGUUCUAUGCCCCUGCAUCUUUGAAUUUGUAAUUUUUGUUAAUAUUUAUAGUUUUCAUCGCAUGUGGUUUUUGGAUUAAUCGGUCUUCGCUCUCUGUGCCUUUCGUAGUUUUCACUACUCAUUGUUUUGUUUCAGUAAGGGAGUCCUGCAAUUGUAAUUGGAACAACUGUUCUAUUGUUUUGAUACUCAAUUUAUUGGCAUUAAAACAAUGGAAUACUUUCUUCUAUUUUUCAGGCAAUGGGUUUGGCUUGAUUUGGAAAUAGGGUUAAGUUUUGGGAACUUAUGGCAAGCAGAGGUGUUUUACUUUGUGAUUUACCAAGCUUAUGGCAAGCAGAGGUGCUUCACUUUGUGAUUUACCAAUUUAUCUGUUAUACUGUGUCCCUGUGAUUUCUGUUUUGGGAUUGUGUUAGGAAAAUAAUAUUCCUUCAUACCUUAGUGGGCUGUAGAAUUUACUUCAAUCGAAUUUGGGUGUCCUUAGUUUCAAUAUUUUGGAAUUUAAUUAUAAAAAAGCAUUUGUCCCAAGUUCCUAAAGACUGUAAUUUAUAUGUCUCUCUAGGGCACCGAAGAUCAAAAGAAGCUCCCUAUGGUUUUAUGCAAAUUGGUGGAAAUAUUAAAAGCCAGUUGAGUGGAUGGUUGUUACAGCAUAUUCUCUCUUUCUCUAAACCAUAUGUUUGAAAGUUUGGAUGUGUAAGCACAUUAGCAAGUGGAAUUGUUACCUUGGCCAUGUGAGUUAUAAUUAGAUUUUUUUCAAAUAAUAUAUUUUUUCAUUUUCUUCCUCUUUUUUUUUCCCAGGUAUUUGAAGGGGGUAGGGGUUCUGCGGGUCAUCUCUGAAACUCCUGUAGUCCUAUGAUCCCUAAGAGAAGAAAAAUAACUUAAAGACAAAGAAGUUUCUGAGGAUGGAAGAGGAGCAAAGACAGAGGCUCACUCUCUCUGAUCAACUCUCGGUUCUGCAAUCGCUGCACCUUCGAGACCUCCUCAGAGCUGCUGCCCAAGGAACCCAACAGCACCAACCAUGAAAUCCAAAACACCUCUUCCAGCCUCUUCUAGAAGUGGAACCCGAAGAUGAAUGGAUAAGAAAGGAAUUGAAUUCCAUUGAGUGAAUUCAAUGAAAAUUUUCCUUGGCCAUCAUCGAAAUCAGAUGGCAUCACCCAUACACGUUUCUUUUUACUUCAUGUCUUUGCAACUUUGGUGGCAAUCAUUUGGUUCAUUUGAUUUUCUGAUUAAUACGAUCUAUGUAAUCCAUUGUUUCCAAGAUUGUUGUAUCGGCAAGAGUCAUAGUGAUUAUUUGGAAUAAUAUUCAG
rnacentral:lncRNA from 1 species